CUCCCCAAACUUCCGACAUAACCCGCGCUCCUCGUCUUCUCCACUCGUCUGCCCUCGCUCCUGGCACAGCCGCUCAGCUCUGCCUGAGCUCCCCUGUUUAGCUCCGGCGCGCAACUACCCUGCUCUCCCGCGCAUCCUCCGCCACCGCCGUAGCUGCCUCCUCCCCCGCUCCCUGCCGCCUCAUGAAGCUCCCCUCCCACCCACUCGCCUGUCUCCCGCAGCCCCCUUUCACCCUAAAAAUCCAUUUUUCUUCCUCUAUGGGCUUCUACGGUGUACUCCGGCUCCGGCGAGGCUCCCAUCCAGCACGCAGCUCGCUCGCGCGCCGGGAUGCUGACGCCAUGGAGGACGCCGCUCCACCCCUACUCUGCUCCGUGCCCCCGACGCCAUGGAGGACGCCGCUCCACCUCCGCUCCAGCCUGAAGGCACUCCACCCCUGCUCCAGCCUGGAGGUGCUCCAUCUCUGAAUGUUGAAUGCUCCUGCUGCAUCAAGCUGCUACUCCAUGGAGUAUUUCAGAAUUUAAAACCGAGUUUUUUAUUUCUAUUUUGUACUAUGGUCUCUCUGUUUUGUCAAUCUGCUGUAAUCAUUUAUGUUGUGGAGUUCGUAAGUUUUAAACAAAAUGAUUACUAGUGCAUCCAGGAAUCGUUUAAGUUAUGAACCAUUGCAAAUUCUGAAUUUUGUUGUAGGUACUGCUGCUAUAUGAAGUAGUGCUGCUGACUAUAAUUAACUGAAUUUUACAAUAAUCAUCAGUGUAACAAAGAUUAAUUUCUACAGUACAAGAUUCAGUGUAAAUCUUCAAAAUGAAUUGAUGUUAGUAUGUUCAGUGGUUAGAACAGAAGAUCAGAUUUCUUAGGUUCUACAGUACACAAGUUGAUAACAAAGAUGAGAUUUCUUAGGUUGCACUACUCCCAUUUUUGCUCUGCUCCCAUUUUGAUUGCUCUGCUCCCAUUUUUGCUCACAAUUAUUCAGAAAAGGACUACUCCUAGUAACAAAAUAGAUCAUUUACUGAAAAUAGCUCUACAUUUCUUCUUCUAAUGGUUGUUCCUGCAGCAAUAGCUCUACAUUUACUGAAAAUCAACUUGAUGUACUGAAAAUAAAGUUGGGCAUUGUUUACUAAAAAUAAACUUGAUGCCCCUCCACUUGUCAAGGUGAAGACUACAGAAACUCAUGGAGAAAAGAAGACAAGGUUGAUGCCCCUCCACUUAGCACUUAGUUUGCAUAAUGACACAAAUAUUUACAAAUUUGCAUCUACUAACUGUCACUGUAUUUGGAUAGGUUCAUAACUGAAUUUUCUGUACAGUAGUGCAUCUAGGGAUCAUUUAAGCUCUCCUGCUAUAUGAACUGGUGAGCGAGCCAUCCAUAGAAGUUGUUCCCUGUGUUCCAAAUAGGUGAUCGAGCCAUCCAUCGAAUCAUUUAUGAUCAUACAGAAGUUGUUCCCUGUGUUCCAAUAGUGGACUUCACAUUCCAAAGGAGGGACAGAAGAGCAGUCUACCUGACAAGGACAUGGCAUAGGUUGCAGACAAAUACUGUGAGAUAUCUCAGUUUAACUACAUAUUGCUUCAAGCGAAUGUGGAUGUUGCACACUAUUGUGAAGGUGCAGCCCUGCUCAAUUCAAUUUCCACUGCACAUAUCUACUUCAAUUUCUACUACAAAUUCACCUUUUCAACAGCAGACGCGGGGCAGAGAAGUCAGACGGCAAGGAUGAGCAGCAGCAUCAGACAGCGAGGAGGAGCAGAAGCAUCAGACGAAGAGGACUCGAUCGGGGGCGUUGGCGUCGCCCAAUAGCAGCAGCAUCAGAGGCUGGAGGGAAUCGCGGCGGCCGCAGAAUGAAGCGGCGGCCGACGACUUGUCCAAAUCCGGCACCGGAGGCCGCGGGCGCGAGGAAGCGGGCAGAGGAUGAGGGCGCGGGCCGCACCGGCUAGGGACGCGAGCAGGGAGGUGACGUCGGCCGUGGAGGAGGCGGGCGUCUAGUUGGUCCCGCGGAGGAGCAGUCGCCUCCGUGUGGGCGGCAGCACAGCUCGCCUUUGUGCGGGCGGUGCAGGUGGGCAGGGGCGCCAUGGAUUGGCAGCAGCGGCGAUGCAGGUGGACGGCAACGCGCUGGGCCCUACGGUGGCUGCCGACGGCGCACUGGGCUUGUUCCUGCCGCGGGCGUCUGGAGGAGGAAGAAGCAAAGGGGUAAUUAGCAGGAGAUUUAAAAUCCUAAGGAUUUUUUUUUUGCAAAAAUCACAGCGAACUACGCCGUGGACAACUUUUCCCGGACGGAGGGAGUAUAAUAGUGGCACUAGUUGAAGUCAGCCUGCAGCUCCACUCGACGAUUCAAUUUAUGCGACCUUUUCUGUAGUUUACUUGAAAUGAAGCAAAGAUUGCAUCAUUCAGCUAGCAAGAAGUACUUGCUCUUGUGAGAUGGCAGGUUUUUUUUUAGUAGUUGCAUAAAAAUUAAGCAACAUUAAGGUUGUCUGUCCUACUCAUGUAAGGUGCAACUAUAAUUUGCUUAUCCUCUUGUACAGUUC